GACGAACGCUGGCGGCGUGCCUAAUACAUGCAAGUCGAACGAGUGGCGGACGGGUGAGUAACGCAUCGGAACGUACCGAGUAAUGGGGGAUAACUGUCCGAAAGGACAGCUAAUACCGCAUAUUAUUCGAGCGGCCGAUGUCUGAUUAGCUGGUUGGCGGGGUAAAGGCCCACCAAGGCGACGAUCAGUAGCGGGUCUGAGAGGAUGAUCCGCCACACUGGGACUGAGACACGGCCCAGACUCCUACGGGAGGCAGCAGUGGGGAAUUUUGGACAAUGGGCGCAACCCUGACGCAGCCAUGCCGCGUGAAUGAAGAAGGCCUUCGGGUUGUAAAGUUCUUUCGGUGACGAGGCGUUAAUCACAGAAGAAGCACCGGCUAACUCCGUGCCAGCAGCCGCGGUAAUAC
rnacentral:rRNA from 1 species